UUUGCCGUUUGAGAACAGAAUUACUGUAAAAAGUUUAAUAAAUACAUUAAAUUUCGUUUUUUAAACUGGGUAGCCUGACAACGAAAAGAGGCUUAUAGCGAGCAAAAUAUAUCGCUUACCAAGGCUGUAUUCAAGACUGAAAAAGUCAAGUGCAUAGAAGGAGUUUUAAAUUCAUCACUACCUUGCUCAAAAAAAGAUUACUGUUCAAAUGUGCACAAGUUACAAGGCCAAAAACUGAAGCGGAUCCUCAUGAUGAGCAACUGUGGGACAUAUCAACACAAAUCACUCUUGGCAAAUGUCGAAAGAAACAAUGGAAAGAUAAGUGCAUUUACAAUAUUUCAUGCAAUAUGGUUCAUUCUAUACCUUUCGUUUCUCUUUCCGGCAGCGUCAAUUUUUUCGGUAGCGUCAUUUUUUCGGUAGCGUCAUUUUUUCGGCAGCGU